CCCAUACCAAUGUUGCAUGAUGGCAGUUUAGGUCAUUUGAAGCAAUUUCUUUCCCAGAUCUGCAAGAAGAAAUGUCCUGAUGCGCAUUGAUCUUGCUUACUAAUACUUAAAAUCAUAGGAUUAUAGAAUAAUUCAAGUAGAAAAGAGUAUCAAGUUUCACUAUCCAGCUCAAGUAGGGUCUGCUGCAAGAUGAUAACACAUUGCUCAGGGAUCACAUAAGUUCUGAAACCCUCCUUAUUGUGACAAAACUUUCCUUAUGUUCAGCCAAAACCAUUUCUGUUUCAGCCUCUGCCUGUUGCCUCUCAUCCCAGAGAAGAGCCUGGAUUCAUAUUCCUGACAAGAUCCUCAGACUCUAAUGCAUCAUUUAUCAGGCUAUGAGGGAGCUGUUUCUCCAGUCCUAUUUGCAUGGAGGAAAGCAGAGCAAGAAAUUUCCCUCUCCAGAUUGACUCAGGCAACGAAGCUGAUCCAAAGUGAGUGCAAAACAAGAAAUACUUGGAUGGCUUCAGUCUCUUUUAGGACCCACGAAACAAGAGGAAGCCACCAACAGCCUGCAUAA
rnacentral:lncRNA from 1 species